GACGAACGCUGGCGGCGUGCUUAACACAUGCAGGUCGAACGGAAAGGCCCUGCUUUUGUGGGGUGCUCGAGUGGCGAACGGGUGAGUAACACGUGAGUAACCUGCCCUUGACUUUGGGAUAACUUCAGGAAACUGGGGCUAAUACCGGAUAGGAGCUCCUGCUGCAUGGUGGGGGUUGGAAAGUUUCGGCGGUUGGGGAUGGACUCGCGGCUUAUCAGCUUGUUGGUGGGGUAGUGGCUUACCAAGGCUUUGACGGGUAGCCGGCCUGAGAGGGUGACCGGCCACAUUGGGACUGAGAUACGGCCCAGACUCCUACGGGAGGCAGCAGUGGGGAAUAUUGCACAAUGGGCGGAAGCCUGAUGCAGCAACGCCGCGUGCGGGAUGACGGCCUUCGGGUUGUAACCCGCUUUCGCCUGUGACGAAGCGUGAGUGACGGUAAUGGGCAAAGAAGCACCGGCUAACUACGUG
rnacentral:rRNA from 1 species